CUAUCCUGGCUGAGUUUGAUCCUGGCUCAGAUUGAACGCUGGCGGCAGGCCUAACACAUGCAAGUCGAGCGGAAACACAAGGGAGCUUGCUCCUGAGGUGUCGAGCGGCGGACGGGUGAGUAAUGCCUAGGUAUCUGCCCAGUCGAGGGGGAUAACAGUUGGAAACGACUGCUAAUACCGCAUACGCCCUACGGGGGAAAGGAGGGGACCUUCGGGCCUUUCGCGAUUGGAUGAACCUAGGUGGGAUUAGCUAGUAGGUGGGGUAAUGGCUCACCUAGGCAACGAUCCCUAGCUGGUCUGAGAGGAUGAUCAGCCACACUGGAACUGAGACACGGUCCAGACUCCUACGGGAGGCAGCAGUGGGGAAUAUUGCACAAUGGGCGAAAGCCUGAUGCAGCCAUGCCGCGUGUAUGAAGAAGGCCUUCGGGUUGUAAAGUACUUUCAGCGAGGAGGAAAGGUAGGUAGUUAAUAACUGCUUACUGUGACGUUACUCGCAGAAGAAGCACCGGCUAACUUCGUGCCAGCAGCCGCGGUAAUACGAGGGGUGCAAGCGUUAAUCGGAAUUACUGGGCGUAAAGCGUACGCAGGCGGUUUGUUAAGCAAGAUGUGAAAGCCCCGGGCUCAACCUGGGAACUGCAUUUUGAACUGGCAAACUAGAGUCUUGUAGAGGGGGGUAGAAUUUCAGGUGUAGCGGUGAAAUGCGUAGAGAUCUGAAGGAAUACCGGUGGCGAAGGCGGCCCCCUGGACAAAGA
rnacentral:rRNA from 1 species